GUGCUUGCUUCAGCAACACGUAUACUAAAAUUUGAAACAAUAUAGAAAUGAUUAGCAUGGCCCCUGCUCAAGGAUGACACAGAAAUAAAAUUUCUUGUAAAGAUUACA